CCUACGGGAGGCAGCAGUGGGGAAUAUUGGGCAAUGGGCGCAAGCCUGACCCAGCAAUGCCGCGUGAAGGAAGAAGGCUUUCGGGUUGUAAACUUCUUUUAAGAGGGAAGAGUAGAAGACGGUACCUCUUGAAUAAGCCACGGCUAACUACGUGCAAGCAGUCGCGGUAAUACGUAGGUGGCAAGCGUUGUCCGGAUUUACUGGGUGUACAGGGCGUGUAGCCGGGCCGGCAAGUCAGAUGUGAAAUCCAAAGGCUCAACGUUGGAACUGCAGUUGAAACUGUUGGUCUUGAGUAUCGGAGAGGCAGGCGGAAUUCCUAGUGUAGCGGGGAAAUGCGUAGAUAUUAGGAGGAACACCAGUGGCGAAGGCGGCCUGCUGGACGACAACUGACGGUGAGGCGCGAAAGCGUGGGGAGCAAACAGGAUUAGAUACCCCUGUAGUC
rnacentral:rRNA from 1 species